UGACAAUGCAACCCUAUUUUCUCCAGGUGGUUGCAGGCUGCUUGUACAGCAUGCCAAAAUGGCAUCAUUGUCACACUAAUUAUUGAACCAAAUUGCUUAAAUUCGUCGAUUAAUAUUGAUGUCGGGACUCUACUGCAAAUCGCCCAGCAAAAAACUGCCAAAACCAUGAAAAAAUAUACAAAAAAAAUUUAUUUCCAACCUACCGACCCUAAUUUUUUUACAAUAUGAAACCGGAACCACAAGUAUUUUUACGCCUCAUUUACGAGACCUUGAAACUAAUAUGGAUUCAGAGCACUCACUCUAUGCAACACAUAUCAAUUGACAUGUGUCUGGAUAAUUUGGUAAAAGUUUGUUUUGGUAGCACUCCCAACUGGUAGGACUGAUGGCACUAAGAAACGUUGGAGUCGGUUGUUUGAAAUAGCAAAACUCCCUUUUCAAAUAGCAAAACUCCCUUUUCAAAUAGCAAACCUCCCUUUUCAAAUAGCAAAACUCCCUUUUCAAAUAGCAAAACUCCCUUUUCAAAUAGCAAACCUCCUUUUUCAAAUGGCAAAACUCCCUUUUCAAAUAGCAAAACUCCCUUUUCAAAUAGCAAAACUUUCUUUUCAAAUGGCAAAACUCCCUUUUCAAAUAGCAAAACUCCCUUUUCAAAUAGCAAACCUCCCUUUUCAAAUAGCAAAACUCCCUUUUUA